UACGUAGGGUGCAAGCGUUGUCCGGAAUUAUUGGGCGUAAAGAGCUCGUAGGCGGUUUGUCGCGUCUGCUGUGAAAACCCAGGGCUUAACCCUGGGCCUGCAGUGGGUACGGGCAAACUAGAGUGCGGUAGGGGAGAUCGGAAUUCCUGGUGUAGCGGUGAAAUGCGCAGAUAUCAGGAGGAACACCGGUGGCGAAGGCGGCGACCUGGGUCGAUACUGACGCUGAGGUGCGAAAGCGUGGGGAGCAAACAGG
rnacentral:rRNA from 1 species